GGACGAACGCUGGCGGCGUGCUUAACACAUGCAAGUCGAACGAUGAACCAGGGCUUGCCCUGGGGAUUAGUGGCGAACGGGUGAGUAACACGUGGGCAACCUGCCCCAGACACCGGGAUAACCAUCCGAAAGGAUGGCUAAUACCGGAUAUGACCACUUUGGGCAUCCAACGGUGGUGGAAAGGAUUCUGGUCUGGGAUGGGCCCGCGGCCUAUCAGCUAGUUGGUGGGGUAAUGGCCUACCAAGGCGACGACGGGUAGCCGGCCUGAGAGGGCGGACCGGCCACACUGGGACUGAGACACGGCCCCAGACUCCUACGGGAGGCAGCAGUGGGGAAUAUUGCGCAAUGGCGAAGCCUGACGCAGCGACGCCGCGUGAGGGACGAAGGUCUUCGGAUUGUAACCUCUUUCUAGCAGGGACGAAGCG
rnacentral:rRNA from 1 species